rnacentral:rRNA from 1 species
AGUGAACGCUGGCGGCAGGCCUAACACAUGCAAGUCGAACGGCAGCGCAGCAGUAGCAAUACUGUGGGCGGCGAAUGGCGGACGGGUGAGGAAUACAUCGGAAUCUACCCUGUCGUGGGGGAUAACGUAGGGAAACUUACGCUAAUACCGCAUACGACCCACGGGUGAAAGCGGCGGACCGCAAGGCUUCGCGCGAUUGGAGGAGCCGAUGUCCGAUUAGCUAGUUGGCGGGGUAAAGGCCCACCAAGGCGACGAUCGGUAGCUGGUCUGAGAGAAUGAUCAGCCAGCAUGGAACUGAGAGCCGGUCCAGACUCCUACGGGAGGCAGCAGUGGGUAAUAUUGGACGAUGGGAGCGAGCCGGAUCCAGCCAUGCCACGUGUGUGAAGAAGGCCUUCGGGAUGUAAAGCACUUUUGUUGGGGAAGAAAAGGCGCCGGUUAAUACCCGGUGUUUCUGACGGUACCCAAAGAAUAAGCACCGGCUAACUUCGUGCCAGCCGCCGCCGUAAGAC